AAUGCUGAUGAAUAAUUUACAACGAAUUUCUUCACCUGAACCUUCAUGUGGAACAAAAAAAUUUCAGAGCUUUUUAACACUGAGU
rnacentral:snoRNA from 1 species